rnacentral:rRNA from 1 species
UACGAGUGCCCCAAGCGUUUAUCCGGAAUCAUUGGGCGUAAAGGGUGUGUAGGUGGCGAUGUUAGUCUUCUGUCAAAUUCUUCGGCUUAACCGGGGGUCUGCAGAGGAAACGGCAUUGCUCGAGGAUGCGAGGGGUCUAUGGAACUCAUGGAGUAGGGGUGAAAUCCGUUGAUAUCAUGGGGAACACCAAAAGCGAAGGCAAUAGACUGGCGCAUUCCUGACACUGAAACACGAAAGCGUGGGUAGCGAACGGG